rnacentral:rRNA from 1 species
AGGAUAAACGCUGGCGGCGUGCCUAACACAUGCAAGUCGAACGUCCUACGCAAGUAGGGAGUGGCGGACGGGUGAGUAACACGUGGGCAAUCUACCUUUCGGUGAGGAAUACCGGCGAGAAAUCGCCGACAAUACCGCAUACGCUUCGCAAGAAGCAAAGUCGCAAGAUGCCGGAGGAGGAGCCUGCGCCCGAUUAGCUGGUUGGUGGAGUAAUGGUCUACCAAGGCGACGAUCGGUAGCUGGUCUGAGAGGAUGAUCAGCCACACUGGGAUUGAGAACGGCCCAGACUCCUACGGGGGGCAGCAGUGAGGAAUUUUCGUCAAUGGGGGAAACCCUGAACGAGCAACGCCGCGUGCAGGAAGACACUUUUCGGAGCGUAAACUGCUUUUCUCGGGGACGAGUAAGGACGGUACCCGAGGAAUCAGCCCCGGCUAACUACGUGCCAGCAGCCGC